UACGGGGGGGGCAAGCGUUGUUCGGAAUUACUGGGCGUAAAGCGCGUGUAGGCUGCUCGGAAAGUCGGGUGUGAAAGCCCUGGGCUCAACCUAGGAAGUGCACUCGAAACUUCCGAGCUGGAGUGCUGGAGAGGAAGGCGGAAUUCUCGGUGUAGAGGUGAAAUUCGUAGAUAUCGAGAGGAACACCGGUGGCGAAGGCGGCCUUCUGGACAGCCACUGACGCUGAGACGCGAAAGCGUGGGGAGCAAACAGG
rnacentral:rRNA from 1 species